rnacentral:rRNA from 1 species
CCGUCYURAAACACGRACCAAGGAGUCUAGCAUGUGCGCGAGUCAUUGGGAUKAUAAUUAAACCUAAAGGCGUAAUGAAAGUAAAGGUUCUCCUCGCGAGAACCGAGGGAGGACGGGCGGUUUACACCCUUAAAAGUGGCCGCCCCGCACUCCCGGGGCGUCUCGUUCUCAUCGMGAGAAGAGGCGCACCAAGAGCGUACACGCUGGGACCCGAAAGAUGGUGAACUAUGCCUGGUCAGGANGAAGUCAGGGGAAACCCUGAUGGAGGUCCGUAGCGAUUCUNACGUGCAAAUCGAUCGUSGGAACUGGGCAUAGGGGCGAAAGACUAAUCGAACCAUCUAGUAGCUGGUUCCCUCCGAAGUUUCCCUCAGGAUAGYUGGCGCUCGUCGCGCACGAGUCUCAUCCGGUAAAGCGAAUGAUUAGAGGCAUUGGGGUCGAACCGACCUCWMCCUAUUCUCAAACUUUAAAUGGGUGAYAUCUCCGGCUUGCUUGAACUCMCWSUAAAACUAGUUGAAGCCGCGAGACACGGAUCAGAGYGCCAAGUGGGCCAUUUUUGGUAAGCAGAACKGGCGCUGUGGGAUGAACCAAACGUCGAGUUAAAGCGCSUAAAUCGACGCUUAUGGGAUACCAUGAAAGGCGUUGGUAACUUAAGACAGCAGGACGG